AGAGUUUGAUCAUGGCUCAGAACGAACGCUGGCGGCGUGGAUAAGACAUGCAAGUCGUACGGGACCAGGUUUGUAGCAAUACAGGCUUGGUUCAGUGGCGAACGGGUGCGUAACACGUGAGCAAUCUGCCGGGAAGUGGGGGAUAGCUCGCCGAAAGGCGAAUUAAUACCGCAUAUGGCCACUCUUUGAUUGAAGGAAAAGCCAAAGCAGCAAUGCGCUUCCUGAUGAGCUCGCGGCCUAUCAGCUAGAUGGCGGGGUAACGGCCCACCAUGGCUAUGACGGGUAGCUGGUCUGAGAGGACGACCAGCCACACUGGAACUGAGAUACGGUCCAGACACCUACGGGUGGCAGCAGUCGAGAAUUUUUCACAAUGGGGGCAACCCUGAUGGAGCGACGCCGCGUGGAGGAUGAAGGCCUUCGGGUUGUAAACUCCUGUCAUGCGGGAACAAGCAAGUGAUAGUACCGCAAGAGAAGAGA
rnacentral:rRNA from 1 species